AAUGAAGUGCCUGAAAAAGGGUUAUUUUGAUAGAAUAAAUUAUGUAGUGUUUUACCUUCAUUAC
rnacentral:tRNA from 1 species